CACGUAGGGGGCAAGCGUUGUCCGGAAUCAUUGGGCGUAAAGCGCGUGUAGGCGGCCCGGUAAGUCCGCUCUGAAAGUCCAGGGCUCAACCCUGGAAAGCGGGUGGAUACUGCCGGGCUAGAAUCCGGAAGAGGCGAGUGGAAUUCCUGGUGUAGCGGUGGAAUGCGCAGAUAUCAGGAGGAACACCAAUAGCGAAGGCAGCUCGCUGGGACGGUAUUGACGCUAAGGCGCGAAAGCGUGGGGAGCAACAGG
rnacentral:rRNA from 1 species